rnacentral:miRNA from 1 species
GUUGGCCAAAACAUUCAUUCUGGGUUUUUCCAUAGCAUCUUAACAGAAAAACUUGAAUGAAUGUUUUGGCCAAC